UGCAAAAUGUAGUCGUGAAGAUAACGAAUCAUGCGAUUCAGUUCCCUCAAAGGAAUCGCGGGUUCAGCAGGGGAAAACGACGGCGCGCGGAUAAAAACUCUCUCGGAGAAAGCAGAAUCCAACAAGAGAGAAACGGAUGAACCAUGAACGAUGCUCGAUCACGCUCCUCUUCAUGCAACUUUAACAGAGCCAUACAUAAAAUACUCAAGAGAGCAAGAGAGAGAGAGAGAGAGAGAGAGAGAGAGAGAGAGAGAGAGAGGCGAUAGAGGAGAGCACGUCGGUACUACGGAGAAAGGAACGAUUUUUCUUUUUCCGAGUUGAACAGGGUAGCGGAAAUUAUCUGUCUUUUUCCCAGGAAACCCAUCAGCUCAUUCUUUAUUUUUCCCUAUAAUUCUACAAAAUUUAAUGCAGUUUUACUAUGUUGACAAGAACAGCAGAGUGCCUCUCUGCCCGGCUCAAACCCUCUUCUAAUAGAAUCGAAUGAACUUAGAUGCUAAGUAUUUGGGACAGAAUUUGAAUGAGAAAUGCAGACAAUGGGGAUCGAGCAAAUUUGCUGAGGCUAUAGGGUUGUUUACGAUGUUCCUUAGACCUUUUUGAGCAGAAGAAACGGGUCUGUCUCCUGUCCCAAAGCUCAAUUGGCCAUGAUUAUGCCGGGGGGUGAUUGAAAGGGUCCC